GGGGUAGUAAAGGUUUCGACGGGGGCUGUGAAGCUGGAGAAGCUAUCCGCAGGCAGAUGCGUUAAAUCGCAAACCUAAAUAUAAACGCAGACGAUAAUUUUGCGCUUGCAGCAGCCUGACGGCUGCGGCUGUCUGACCUGAAGCACCUGCACUUCGGGACCCAGGCAUCGAGCAUGCAGGAAACGACACAUGCAAAGCUUUGAGCAUGCGGGCGUAAUAUGAAGCUACCUUAUCCGUGAGGCCGCCGCCUGCCGCAUGGCAUAGGGGAAUUCAAACAGACGGCUGUGAUGGGAGAUGCCCCGGGGGAUGAGCUUUCGGACGCGGGUUCGAUUCCCGCCAGGUCCAC
rnacentral:tmRNA from 1 species